GAUCAUGGCUCAGGACGAACGCUGGCGGCGUGCCUAACACAUGCAAGUCGAACGGGGUGAAAGUCCUCGGGGUUUCACUUAGUGGCGAACGGGUGAGUAACGCGUGAGGAACCUGCUUCCAUGGGGGACAACAGUUGGAAACGACUGCUAAUACCGCAUAAUAUGUACGGACCGCAUGAUCUGUACAUCAAAGCUUAUGUGCUGGAAGAUGGCCUCGCGUCUGAUUAGCUAGUUGGUGGGGUAACGGCCCACCAAGGCGACGAUCAGUAGCCGGUCUGAGAGGAUGAACGGCCACAUUGGGACUGAGAUACGGCCCAGACUCCUACGGGAGGCAGCAGUGGGGAAUAUUGGGGCAAUGGGGGAAACCCUGACCCAGCAACGCCGCGUGAAGGAAGAAGGCUUUCGGGUUGUAAACUUCUUUUACCAGGGACGAAGAACGUGACGGUACCUGGAGAAAAAGCAACGGCUAACUACGUG
rnacentral:rRNA from 1 species